rnacentral:lncRNA from 1 species
GGACAUACUAUUAAAUUUUACAGCAAUGUUUGAGAAGGCGGAUCUUUAACUGACUGCAACAACAUCAAUCAACAUAGAGAGAAAAUCAAACACACGAUAAGAUGAAACAUAACACAGAAUAGAGAGAAAUAAAAAAAAUAACCAUAACCGAACAUAUUUCUUGUCAAGGUCUUCAAACUCCUAAAUUAUGUUUCGCCUAGACAUAAUGUUUUCGUAAAAACUCAUCCAAUCGUCAAAUCUCAGCCUAGAAUACAUAUAACGAAUAUAUUAAAAAGAAAAAAAGAACGCCACUUAGAGCAGAGCAACAACCAAAUGAAACCGACUAUAAUUGCAUAUUUGAUAUUGUACAUAAAUUAGUAUUUUGCUUAAUAAUCACCCAAACGACCAAAAAUGACUGCAAUUAUUAGAUGAGUAGAAACGAACCAUGAGAGACUUGGUGAAGGAUAGACAAAACAUCCAACCGAGCGGUAUCAUUGCCGGAAGGGAUUGAAGGGCUUGCAUGUCAAUUGUUGUCCUAUAAAAGACGCCAAUCAAUAUUGAGAAGUAUUCUCCAUAAACCGACAUGUUACAGACUUUCCUUCUGCGAAAUAAUGCAAAGACAAUAAAUUGGGAAACCAUAGCUACUAAAUAGAUCGACACAUUUAAAAUUAAUAAAUAAAAAGAAAUCAUUUGAAUAAAAUUAAAACUGGAAAAGAACCACAUCCUAAAAAAAUUAUGAAUAUCAAGUUAAACCAAUUAAUGUAGAAACCCAUGGAAUUUUUCCAAUAGCCAACAAACAAUGUCGAGUCUCUAAUCACAAACAUCAUCUUCCCUGUCUCAGUGUAGUAAGCAAUACACGAUGAAAAUAGAAUCUAAAAUACCUGCGCUCUUUGUUGGGAUUAAUUCACACGCCAUCUACUACAUGAAUAAUAAGCAUUAAAAAGUCCGAUUUAACAAAUUCGAAUAAAAGAUUCACAAUGAUUCAAAAAAAUUCAGUUCAAUAAUAUCAGAAAGAAACAAAUAAAAACUAAGAAAAUGAGUGAAUACCGUUUUAUAUUGAUUAUGGCACUGGUUUGAGGAGGCAAUUUGAAUUCUUCAGCAGCAAAAUCUCAGAUUUCACUGGGCAGCAUACAAAGUCCUAAUAACUGGUGCAAUGUCGAAGAAUGCAAAAAAAAAAAAUGAAAAAUCUCAUAAGCCAUGACAAAUUGCAGGACACGAUCGAUGAUAUGGGAGAAGAAUAAUAAUGAGAAGACAAAACGUUUACAUGAGUGAAAACGUGGGAGUUAUU